rnacentral:lncRNA from 1 species
UGGGUAUAUGACUAAAUAUCUCUUAUUUUUUAAACCUUUAAUUAUUAAUUCAAGCAUUUUCUAUUUCCUAAAAUAAUUUUAUUUGAUAAAAGUUCAGUAGUGGAAGUGAAGGUGGUGGUGAAAGAGAUAAAGGUGAAGGUGGCAGUGAUAGUGGAAGUGGUUGUGGGUGGUGAUGAAGCUAGAGGCGGUGGUUGUGGUAGUGAUGGUGGUGGAGAUGGUGGUUGUAGAGGUGAAAGUGGUAGCGGUGGCGGCGUGGUGGUGUAGGUGGAGGUGGAGGUGGAGGUGGUAGAGUUGCAUGUGGAGGUGGAUGUAGUGUCACUUAAAAACAAUUAUGAUGGUAUUUUGGGAAUUAAAAUAAUUCAUUAAAGACUUAUCUCUG